GACGAACGCUGGCGGCGUGCCUAAUACAUGCAAGUUGAGCGAUGAAGAUUGGUGCUUGCACCAAUUUGAAGAGCAGCGAACGGGUGAGUAACGCGUGGGGAAUCUGCCUUUGAGCGGGGGACAACAUUUGGAAACGAAUGCUAAUACCGCAUAAUAACUUUAAACAUAAGUUUUAAGUUUGAAAGAUGCAAUUGCAUCACUCAAAGAUGAUCCCGCGUUGUAUUAGCUAGUUGGUGAGGUAAAGGCUCACCAAGGCGAUGAUACAUAGCCGACCUGAGAGGGUGAUCGGCCACAUUGGGACUGAGACACGGCCCAAACUCCUACGGGAGGCAGCAGUAGGGAAUCUUCGCCAAUGGACGAAAGUCUGACCGAGCAACGCCGCGUGAGUGAAGAAGGUUUUCGGAUCGUAAAACUCUGUUGGUAGAGAAGAACGUUGGUGAGAGUGGAAAGCUCAUCAAGUGACGGUAACUACCCAGAAAGGGACGGCUAACUACGU
rnacentral:rRNA from 1 species